rnacentral:lncRNA from 1 species
AUUGUUCCGAUGGCGUGGAUGAAACCUAAAUUCACAUGUUAUAUGGUCUCUACUCCGAAGCAGCAACGUGCCAGAAGUUCAUAAAAAGACUAGUUUAACCGGCCAGUGAGUGCAACACAAUGCGAUUCUCAUGACACCCUCUUUUCUCGUCAUCCGUUGCCAUCAUUUUUUCUAUAAAAUUCUUCUAUAUUUUUUUCACAAGGAAUUCACCUAUUCUGGUGAGUGUGAUGAUUGUUUCGUUUUGAAAUAGUUAUUAUUA